ensembl:snoRNA Small nucleolar RNA SNORD49
CUCUGUGAUGAAAACCUUGAAUAGGAAGUGCCGUCUUAUGCGAUAACUGCCGAUGUUUUUUUUUUACCUUAGUUCGUCUGAGA